rnacentral:lncRNA from 1 species
UAGAGUGCUAAAUAUAGCUAAAAUACGGAAUUCUAACCUACCAUCGACGACUUAGAAAGAAAAGGUGAGAUACUGAAUUCAUGAUGGAGAAACAAUUUGUUCCGGAUUAGGGAACUUAUAAUUCCAGCACUUUUAGUUUUCCUUGAAAGUUAUUUAUUGGAAAUUUCAUGUGAGAUUCUUGAUAUCAUGGUCCUAGCGGUUUAGAACCUGC